UACAGAGGUCUCAAGCGUUGUUCGGAUUCAUUGGGCGUAAAGGGCGCGUAGGCGGCGAGGUAAGUCGGGUGUGAAAUCUCAGAGCUCAACUCUGAAACUGCACUCGAUACUGCUUUGCUAGAGGACUGGAGAGGAGAUUGGAAUUCACGGUGUAGCAGUGAAAUGCGUAGAGAUCGUGAGGAAGACCAGUGGCGAAGGCGGAUCUCCUGGACAGUUC
rnacentral:rRNA from 1 species